rnacentral:lncRNA from 1 species
GGGUUAUCUUAUGUCUCUUAGAAAAGGGUUGUAACCCCAAUCUACACACUCAAGUGUGUGUAGCUUCCGAAUUUCUAAGUUUUCUCUCUGACUUCUUAUUAUUCUUUAUAAAGUUUGAGGGAAUUUUAUUGUGUACUUAGUGUAGGCAAAUGAACAGUAUUGUUGUUUAUUGUGGAUGUCUUACCUUUAAUUUUCUCAGUUUUGCCCUUGCCUUAUCUUCUUUCUGUUGGCGAUGGUGUUUCUCCCUCUGAAUUUUACUUUGGAUUAGAUUCACCAAUUGGUAAUAAGAAGAAGGAUUUUGGUUGCGAACAUCGAUCUAGAAUGGAGUUUCCACUAGCAGACCAUUCCAUAAAGCGUCUUUGGCCUUCUCAUCUGAUAUGGUUUCGCAGGCCAUCAAUUUGGCAAUAAACUGUGUGAAGUAGCUUUUUAGAAACUGUUUUUCCUCUUGCUACAAAUCAUUUAAUUGUGUGACCGGAGCUUGUCCCAACUUGUUUAUAAUAAAUGCCCCAAAAAGCUUGUUUCAAUUGGGGCCUGCUCCUAAUAAAUCCCAACAGUAAUUUGUUGUACCAUUUUUUGGCUGAUCUGUCCAAAGUUAAGUAAAAUCCUUGGCACUUUAGUGCAGGGCUUGCUCUUUUCAAGUUCAUUUGUGUCAUAUAUUUAGAUGAAUGGUACAUGAGGUCAUCUUUAUCAAUGUAUUUUAUUACUAGACAAAUGAAGUUAUCCGGGUAAGCUACCUUCUUGAUUUCCCUGGAGAAUGGUAUCCAUUCAUCGCCAUCGUCUGUUUCAUGUGAUCUGACUGAAAGAUCUUGAUACUCUUUUGUGGGAAAAGUAUUGUAUGAUGCUUCAACAUAGUUUCUAGUUCUUUGCUGUCCUUAGUGGUAGUUCUAGGUAGAUUUUCUAUUGAGGGAACACAGCUCAUCUGUAGAUUUUUCUGUUAUGUUUUUACCUUCAUAUUGCUAUAUCCUUUUCCUCUCGAAAUUAUCAUUAGUCUGUGAUAUAUGGAAACUGUUGCUUUUUUCACGAAAAGAAUUGUCAAUGCAUUUUUCCCUUUUGCUCCUAAAUUAUCCUAUAACUCUUCUGCUG